CAGGUCAGCUGAGCCUCUGUGCCAGCUGCCUCCCAGCCCGGCUUCCCUCUGCCCACCCCUGCCCCGCUCACUCCCCCACAAUCCAGGUCCCUGAGUCUGCUCCCCAAACACCAUCUGCCUCAGGUCUCUCCCGGGAAGUUCAGCCUAGGACACCUCACAAAGGUGUCUGUGACACUCCGAGCCACACCCACCUCUGGCUCCCAGAUGUCCCUUUCAACAGAGACCCCAGCAAAAGCAGCUCAGGUGCAUAGGCAUCCCAGGGGGCCUUGGUGACACGGAUGCCCCAGUGAUCCCAACCUCCACAAGCCCUGAAAGCGGGGGGCUGAGGGUUCUCAUCUGUUUGUUUUACCACAUUAGCUGAUGAGCUGCUUCCCAGGCCCCGCCCCCACUCUCCCGAGUGGGUGUGGCCUCGGCUCUAAUGACAGGCAGCCACUCAGCCGGACCGGGACUACAUUCUCUUCCAGGCCACAGGGAUCUGGGGGACCGACAAAGGAAGGAGAGGGAGAUUGGAUUGGGGGUGUCCGGAGGAGGGCUCUGCUCCCUCACCUCUGUCUGCCUUUGAGCAAGAAGAGCAAGAUCAGCAUUUCCCUUGCCGCCCGCUGCAGGUGGCCCUCUUGGGCCCGGCCGAGAAAGACCAGAGGGGGAGAAGUGCAGCCUGCUAUGGGUGUUCCCGAGUCCUCUGAAUGUGGAGCUCUUCAAAGCUAGCUGCAGUCCCACGUCCGCGGCCUUCAGUCGGGUUCGACACCUUAUUUUGUUGCUGGCAGGAUGAAGAAGAGCUGGUCUCGCACACACAGGGAGCUGGAAAAGUCUGAACCUGUCACGUUGGAAUCCGUCAUCUGGGUUGCUCUGUGAGCCGCUCCUUCACCCAGGCCUCUCCAGCCCCUAAGAGUGUUGGCUUGUCACUGCCUUGUAAGUGCCACAAACUGACAGUGUCACCUUGGGCUUGCUGUCACGGCCCCAGCACGCGGAAGGCACGCAGCCGACCUUUGCCUGAGUGAAGAAG